ACCACUCAGUCUCUUCCCUUGCUUCUAGAAUCUUAGAACUUUUCCACAAUGAGAGUUCUAGAAUGUGUGUUCCUCCUGGCUCUCAUCUCAGCUGUUCAGGGACAGUCACUCACCUCCUCUGAGUCAGUGGUGAAGAACCCUGGAGAGUCAGUAACACUGUACUGUACUGUGUCUGGAUUCUCCAUGGGUAGCUACUACAUGCACUGGAUCCGUCAGAAACCAGGGAAAGGACUGGAGUGGAUUGGCCGCAUUGACACUGGCACUGGUACUAUAUUUGCCCAGUCUCUACAGGGCCAGUUCACCAUCACCAAAGACAACUCCAAAAACCAGCUGUACUUAGAGGUGAAAAGCCUGAAGACUGAAGACUCUGCUGUUUAUUAUUGUGCCAGAGACACAGUGACACAGGAUCCUGCAGCGCCGUACAAAAACUGGUCAACACUGAACCUACAUUCAACGUCGUUACGAGAGGCGUUGCCUUCAACUAGUGGAGGAUACUCUACCACCAGUCGAUCCAGCGAGCCAGCACACCAGCCCAGUUCAGCGAUGACCGUCAGUGGUUCCUUGUCCCCACGACACCCCUCCGACCCCCUGGACGUCAAGGGAGCUCCCGCCUAUGCGGUCAGAUCCCUACAGGACUCCCAAUGUCGUGGGGCUACGCGGUAG